rnacentral:rRNA from 1 species
AUGAUUAAUAAAGCGAGGGCAGUGGGGCACAUUAAAGGGCUUGUAGCCCACCUUAUUCCUGGUGGGGUUACGCAUCUGCAAUACGCAGAUGAUACGAUGCUCUUAUUCGAACCCGGUGACCACAACAUAGCUACCAUCAAGUUACUACUGCUCGCUUUUGAGAUUUUAUCGGGGCUUAAGAUCAACUUUCUGAAGAGCGAAGUGAUCACCAUUGGGAUGGAUGAUCUAGCAAGCACUCGGAUUGCGAAUCUACUUAAUUGCAAGCUAGGGAGCUUCCCGAUUAAAUACUUGGGUCUUCUGAUCUCGACCAAGAAACUAACAAUAGCGGAAUGG